GCCUCGGUAACUCGGUGGCUAACGCGUCGAGCUAGUAACCCGGUGUUUGCGGAUUCGAAUCUCCGCCUCGGGUU